UACGUAGGGGGCAAGCGUUGUCCGGAUUUAUUGGGCGUAAAGAGCGUGUAGGCGGCCAGGUAGGUCGGUUGUGAAACUAGAGGCUACAACCUCUAGACGUCGACCGAAACCAUCUGGCUAGAGUCCGGAAGAGGAGAGUGGAAUUCCUGGUGUAGCGGUGAAAUGCGCAGAUAUCAGGAAGAACACCCGUGGCGAAAGCGGCUCGCUGGGACGUUACUGACACUGAGGCGCGAAAGCGUGGGGAGCGAACAGG
rnacentral:rRNA from 1 species